CUAUAGUUGUGACUAUUAAGACUAUGGUGAAGACUAUUAAGACUAUAGUCCCCACCAUAGUCUUACUAGUCUUCACCAUAAUCUUGAUAGUCAUGA
rnacentral:miRNA from 1 species